ACCCUAUCUAUAUUGCGUCUGCU
rnacentral:miRNA from 1 species